rnacentral:rRNA from 1 species
UACAGAGGGUGCAAGCGUUGUUCGGAAUUAUUGGGCGUAAAGCGCACGUAGGCGGCUUACUAAGUCAGGGGUGAAAUCCUGGAGCUCAACUCCAGAACUGCCUUUGAUACUGGUGAGCUUGAGUCCGGAAGAGGUGAGUGGAACUGCGAGUGUAGAGGUGAAAUUCGUAGAUAUUCGCAAGAACACCAGUGGCGAAGGCGGCUCACUGGUCCGGUACUGACGCUGAGGUGCGAAAGCGUGGGGAGCAAACAGG